GACGUAGGGGGCGAGCGUUGUCCGGAUUUAUUGGGCGUAAAGAGCGUGUAGGCGGUUUGGUAGGUCCGUUGUGAAAACUCGAGGCUCAACCUCGAGACGCCGAUGGAAACCAUCAGACUAGAGUCCGGAAGAGGAGAGUGGAAUUCCUGGUGUAGCGGUGAAAUGCGCAGAUAUCAGGAAGAACACCCGUGGCUAAGGCGGCUCUCUAGUACGGUACUGACGCUGAGACGCGAAAGCGUGGGGAGCGAACAGG
rnacentral:rRNA from 1 species